GAUGAACGCUGGCGGCGUGCCUAAUACAUGCAAGUCGAGCGAACGGACGAGAAGCUUGCUUCUCUGAUGUUAGCGGCGGACGGGUGAGUAACACGUGGAUAACCUACCUAUAAGACUGGGAUAACUUCGGGAAACCGUAGCUAAUACCGGAUAAUAUUUUGAACCGCAUGGUUCAAAAGUGAAAGACGGUCUUGCUGUCACUUAUAGAUGGAUCCGCGCUGCAUUAGCUAGUUGGUAAGGUAACGGCUUAACAAGGCAACGAUGCAUAGCCGACCUGAGAGGGUGAUCGGCCACACUGGAACUGAGACACGGUCCAGACUCCUACGGGAGGCAGCAGUAGGGAAUCUUCCGCAAAGGGCGAAAGCCUGACGGAGCAACGCCGCGUGAGUGAUGAAGGUCUUCGGAUCGUAAAACUCUGUUAUUAGGGAAGAACAUAUGUGUAAGUAACUGUGCACAUCUUGACGGUACCCAAUCAGAAAGCCACGGCUAACUACGUG
rnacentral:rRNA from 1 species